UUCUCUUUGGUAGCACAUCUACCAAACUGGAACGACAUGGAGAAGAUUCACAUGGCCUUUGUGCACGGAUGACAUGCAAGUUGUGUUUUUUUUU
rnacentral:snRNA from 1 species